rnacentral:lncRNA from 1 species
UUGAAUUCUUAGGGAGCAGAAAUAGCAGUGGUCGGGUUUUUCAUUGUUUGUGUUUUAUUUAUUCUUUUUUAUCUUUCUUGAAAGCAACAAUUCAAGAAUUCCUGUUCAUUUGGGCAGAUCGAUUGGUUUCCUGUUCCAUAAGAAUGCCUCUCAGUUGAUGCUGUACAACACAAUUUUUAAGUCUUCGUCUGCGUCUGCGUCUGCGUCUCCGUCUUUGUCUCAACUCUUCACCUUCGUCUUCAUCUUCGUCUUCGUCUGUGUCUCAACUCUUAACCUUCGUCUCCGUCUCCGUCGGUGUCUCAGUCUCUUUAAGUGACUGGGGCCGACAUUUGUACUCCACAACCUCAAGUCUUCGUUUUUGUCUC